rnacentral:lncRNA from 1 species
CAGCCUGCUGCUUCCCUGCAACUCUCUGGUUGCCAAAUCUUGGCAGCCGUGUUGAACUUGAGCCAAGCGUUUAGUCCUCAGCUGAACUGCUGCCAGCCUGCGCACGGCAUUCUGGGGCGAGAGCCGGAGGGGCUGCACUGCACCCAGCUUGCACAGGGCGAGGCGGGGGCAGGACCUGGGACCCAGCCACCCUGGAGGAAACCGGAGAGGAAACCAGCUCGGUCUUGCUCUCUGCUUGGUCCCAAUCCCCAGCUCUUACCAAAUGCAGAUCCCUUGGCUAAAUGCCUUUUAGUCUGCAUGCAUGCAUCUCAUACCACACAGCCCAAAUUUCUACAACUUCGUCCAGGUGCAGUCUCCUCAGAACUACAAAGCAAGAAAAGAUCACCUUUGGGCUCAGGAACUCACAGUUGUUCUCCCUCUCCCGGAAGGCACAAUGACCAGGACAGUACCGAGCUUUGCAGCCAUAUUAAACUCACCUCCAGCUCAGCACAUUCCGCUCAAUCACUCAAAAUCGUCCUUUCCUGCUGGUAAAUAACACUGAAAUACAAGGAAGCUGAACCUUCACAAGGUUGAACAACACAUUUGGUGCCACGCAGCUGAGAAGUGCUUCAAACUGGAUUUGAACAACUGUAGUCAGACUCUGCAGCCUGUGUGUGUACCCACUGUGCUAUGUUGCUGCAUUGAAUAAAAUGUAGCGCCCUCAAUACGGAGUCAGUGUGAGCACAUACGAAGAAUGAUAUUGGGAAGGACAAGUCCUCAGUAGGCAAAACACUUUCCAGCAGUGUUAACUUAGAUGUGGAUAGAAAGGAGACUUGGGAAUUUCUCUGACUUAAUUUAUCUCUGGGUGCAUUUGAAGCAGAGCAGAAGAGAGGGGGAAGAGGUGCUAGGAGUGGUGGGCUCUGAGGUUCAAGUCCCACCAAUGGCCAGGCCUAAUAAAGAUCUAGAUAUCCUUGCAGACUGAGGCUUUCUCCAAAACCCUUCAGCUGUGGUUUUGUGGAACAGGCCUCACUACAUCUAGCUAAUUUUGUUCAUUCAUUCAUUCAUUCUUUCAUUCAUUCACUCCUUUAUUCAACCAGACUUCAUAAACGCCUUUCCAUGUCAGGCCCUGG